GAUGAACGCUGGCGGCGUGCCUAAUACAUGCAAGUCGAGCGAAUGGAUUAAGAGCUUGCUCUUAUGAAGUUAGCGGCGGACGGGUGAGUAACACGUGGGUAACCUGCCCAUAAGACUGGGAUAACUCCGGGAAACCGGGGCUAAUACCGGAUAACAUUUUGAACCGCAUGGUUCGAAAUUGAAAGGCGGCUUCGGCUGUCACUUAUGGAUGGACCCGCGUCGCAUUAGCUGGUUGGUGAGUUAACGGCUCACCAAGGCAACGAUGCGUAGCCGACCUGAGAGGGUGAUCGGCCACACUGGGACUGAGACACGGCCCAGACUCCUACGGGAGGCAGCAGUAGGGAAUCUUCCGCAAUGGACGAAAGUCUGACGGAGCAACGCCGCGUGAGUGAUGAAGGCUUUCGGGUCGUAAAACUCUGUUGUUAGGGAAGAACAAGUGCUAGUUGAAUAAGCUGGCACCUUGACGGUACCUAACCAGAAAGCCACGGCUAACUACGUGCCAGCCGCCGCCGUAA
rnacentral:rRNA from 1 species